ACCUGAUUGACGAUGGAUCACCAGUGAGUGGCGGACGGGUGAGUAACACGUAGGUAACCUGCCCCGGAGCGGGGGAUAACAUUUGGAAACAGAUGCUAAUACCGCAUAACAACAAAAGCCACAUGGCUUUUGUUUGAAAGAUGGCUUUGGCUAUCACUCUGGGAUGGACCUGCGGUGCAUUAGCUAGUUGGUAAGGUAACGGCUUACCAAGGCGAUGAUGCAUAGCCGAGUUGAGAGACUGAUCGGCCACAAUGGAACUGAGACACGGUCCAUACUCCUACGGGAGGCAGCAGUAGGGAAUCUUCCACAAUGGGCGCAAGCCUGAUGGAGCAACACCGCGUGAGUGAAGAAGGGUUUCGGCUCGUAAAGCUCUGUUGUUGGAGAAGAACGUGCGUGAGAGUAACUGUUCACGCAGUGACGGUAUCCAACCAGAAAGUCACGGCUAACUACGUGCCAGCAGCCGCGGUAAUACGUAGGUGGCAAGCGUUAUCCGGAUUUAUUGGGCGUAAAGCGAGCGCAGGCGGUUGCUUAGGUCUGAUGUGAAAGCCUUCGGCUUAACCGAAGAAGUGCAUCGGAAACCGGGCAACUUGAGUGCAGAAGAGGACAGUGGAACUCCAUGUGUAGCGGUGAAAUGCGUAGA
rnacentral:rRNA from 1 species